AAGACCCUUCUAGAGGGCCCCUCCUCAAUCCUGUUGUACUAGAUCCAGAGGGUUGGGCGGAGGCUCUCCUGAAGGCCUCU
rnacentral:pre_miRNA from 12 species